rnacentral:rRNA from 1 species
AGUGGAUGGGGAGCAACCUAGUUGUGCGUGUGUAAAGGUAGUGCCAAGAAAAGCGGUGAUCAUGAUGAAAAUCAAUUCCCGGUACCCGAAACCGACACAGGUGGGCAAGUAGAGAAUACUAAGGGGCGCGAGGUAACUCUCUCCAAGGAACUCGGCAAAAUGACCCCGUAACUUAGGGAGAAGGGGUGCCACCGAGAGGUGGUCGCAGUGAAGAGGCCCAGGCGACUGUUUAGCAAAAACAUAGGUCUCUGCAAACUCGAAAGAGGAGGUAUAGGGGCUGACGCCUGCCCAGUGCCGGAAGGUUAAAGAAGUUGGUCAGUCUUAGGAUAAAGCUAGCGACUGAAGCCCCGGUGAACGGCGGCCGUAACUAUAACGGUCCUAAGGUAGCGAAAUUCCUUGUCGGGUAAGUUCCGACCCGCACGAAAGGCGUAACGAUCUGGGCGCUGUCUCGGGGAGAGGCUCGGCGAAAUAGGAUUGUCUGUGAAGAUACGGACUACCUGCAUUUGGACAGAAAGACCCUAUGAAGCUUUACUAUAGCUUGGAAUUGUGUUCGGGCUUCCUGUGCGCAGGAUAGGUGGGAGGCGUAGAAGGUAUUCUUGUGGGGAUACUGGAGCCAACGGUGAGAUACCACUCUCAGGAGGCUAGAAUUCUAACUUAAUUAAGGACAGUUUCAGGUGGGUAGUUUGACUGGGGCGGUCGCCUCCAAAAAGGUAACGGAGGCGUACAAAGGUUCCCUCAGACUGGUUGGAAAUCAGUCGAAGUGCAAAGGCAGAAGGGAGCUUGACUGCGAGAAGUACAGUUCGAGCAGGGUGGAAACACGGUCUUAGUGAUCCGACGGUGCUGUGUGGAAGGGCCGUCGCUCAACGGAUAAAAGUUACUCUAGGAUAACAGGCUGAUCUCCCCCAAGAGUUCACAUCGACGGGGAGGUUUGGCACCUCGAUGUCGGCUCAUCGCAACCUGGGGCGGAAGUACGUCCCAAGGGUUGGGCUGUUCGCCCAUUAAAGCGGUACGUGAGCUGGGUUCAGAACGUCGUGAGACAGUUCGGUCCAUAUCCGAUGUAGGCGUGAGAAUAUUGAGAGGAGCCUUCCUUAGUACGAGAGGACCGGGAAGGACGCACCGCUGGUGUACCUGUUAUGAUGCCAAUUGUAAACGCAGGGUAGCCAAGUGCGGAGAGGAUAACCGCUGAAAGCAUCUAAGUGGGAAGCCCACCUCAAGAUGAGUAUUCUGGUGUAAGGUCACGGGAAGACGACCCGUAAAUAGGCACGAGGUGGAAGUGCAGAGAUGUAUGAAGCCGAAGUGUACUAAUAGACCGUCGGCUUGACC